AUUGAACGCUGGCGGCAGGCUUAACACAUGCAAGUCGAGCGGGGGAGGUUGCUUCGGUAACUGACCUAGCGGCGGACGGGUGAGUAAUGCUUAGGAAUCUGCCUAUUAGUGGGGGACAACAUUCCGAAAGGGAUGCUAAUACCGCAUACGCCCUACGGGGGAAAGCAGGGGAUCUUCGGACCUUGCGCUAAUAGAUGAGCCUACGUCGGAUUAGCUAGUUGGUGGGGUAAAGGCCUACCAAGGCGACGAUCUGUAGCGGGUCUGAGAGGAUGAUCCGCCACACUGGGACUGAGACACGGCCCAGACUCCUACGGGAGGCAGCAGUGGGGAAUAUUGGACAAUGGGCGGAAGCCUGAUCCAGCCAUGCCGCGUGUGUGAAGAAGGCCUUUUGGUUGUAAAGCACUUUAAGCGAGGAGGAGGCUCUUAAGGUUAAUACCCUUGAUGAGUGGACGUUACUCGCAGAAUAAGCACCGGCUAACUCUGUGCCAGCCGCCGCCGUAACAC
rnacentral:rRNA from 1 species